UACGGAGGGUGCAAGCGUUAUCCGGAUUCACUGGGUUUAAAGGGUGCGUAGGUGGGUUGGUAAGUCAGUGGUGAAAUCUCCAGGCUUAACUUGGAAACUGCCAUUGAUACUAUCAAUCUUGAAUACCGUGGAGGUCAGCGGAAUAUGUCAUGUAGCGGUGAAAUGCUUAGAUAUGACAUAGAACACCAAUGGCGAAGGCAGCUGGCCACACGAAUAUUGACACUGAUGCGCGAAAGCGUGGGGAGCAAACAGG
rnacentral:rRNA from 1 species